GUGGGGAAUUUUGGACAAUGGGCGCAAGCCUGAUCCAGCAAUGCCGCGUGCAGGAAGAAGGCCUUCGGGUUGUAAACUGCUUUUGUACGGAACGAAACGGUCCUGGCUAAUAUCCGGGGCUAAUGACGGUACCGUAAGAAUAAGCACCGGCUAACUACGUGCCAGCAGCCGCGGUAAUACGUAGGGUGCGAGCGUUAAUCGGAAUUACUGGGCGUAAAGCGUGCGCAGGCGGUGCUGUAAGACAGGCGUGAAAUCCCCGGGCUCAACCGGGGAAUUGCGCUUGUGACUGCAGUGCUGGAGUGCGGCAGAGGGGGAUGGAAUUCCGCGUGUAGCAGUGAAAUGCGUAGAUAUGCGGAGGAACACCGAUGGCGAAGGCAAUCCCCUGGGCCUGCACUGACGCUCAUGCACGAAAGCGUGGGGAGCAAACAGGAUUAGAUACCCUGGUAGUCC
rnacentral:rRNA from 1 species